rnacentral:rRNA from 1 species
UAGGGAAUCUUCCGCAAUGGACGCAAGUCUGACGGAGCAACGCCGCGUGAGUGAAGAAGGAUUUCGGUUCGUAAAACUCUGUUGUUAGAGAAGAACAGCGCAUAGAGUAACUGUUAUGCGUGUGACGGUAUCUAACCAGAAAGCCACGGCUAACUACGUGCCAGCAGCCGCGGUAAUACGUAGGUGGCAAGCGUUGUCCGGAUUUAUUGGGCGUAAAGCGAGCGCAGGCGGUCAAUUAAGUCUGAUGUGAAAGCCCCCGGCUCAACCGGGGAGGGUCAUUGGAAACUGGUGACUUGAGUGCAGAAGAGGAGAGUGGAAUUCCAUGUGUAGCGGUGAAAUGCGUAGAUAUAUGGAGGAACACCAGUGGCGAAGGCGACUCUCUGGUCUGUAACUGACGCUGAGGUUCGAAAGCGUGGGUAGCAAACAGG